ensembl:lncRNA
AUUCCGCACUUUGCUCUAUGACCUCGAGACUUGGCUUCCUGUCUCUGAGCCUCGAUUUCCCUAUCUAAAAAAUGAUUCCUCACUUUGCAGGUAGCAACUAAAAUCCCUGACUUGGUGCCUCUCCUGCUGUGUGACCUUGGGGGGAACGCUUAGCUUCUCUGAGCUUUGAUUUUUUUUAUUUUUUCAUCUGCUAAGUGGGGUUAAAUAAAUACCCACCUUUCAGGGCCCAGGAGAGUUAAUGGGGGGUCCGUGUGGGGACCAUGCAGGGGCCUGGCAUGUAGUAAGUGUUCAAUAAAAGAUGGUUUGGGGUAUCCUUUGUGAUUGCAGUGGGUGGCCCUCCUCAGGACCCUGCGGGCCCAGCCUGGCCACUGCAGACCCAGCACACAUGCUCGCGGCUGCCCCCAGCCAGCUGGGGGGAAACCUGAGCCACCCUCCUCCUGGGCAGAGGCUGUCACUGCCACUGCUGCCUCUGAAAUGAAAGAAAGGUCAGAGCCUAGGGAAGCCGGGCUGGGUGUGUGAUGGAGGCAGCCGGCAGGCGAGGAGGGGAGGGGUGGCCAGCGGCUGCCUGACUGCCCCGGUCUCUCCAGGGGAGGCCUGAACCAGCCUGGCCUGGGUGCAGGCCCCCUUGCCCCGGCUUUGACCCCCUGGCCCCGGCAGAGCCGCCUCCCAGCCUGCCCCUGGGGAGGGGCCACCUGGUGUCAAUUAAGCCCCAGCCACAAGGCUCACGCCACGCCAGGCGGCUGAUUAGUGCCGCUGGCCUCUCCAGAUGGGGAGCACGGCCUGAGAGGGGCGCCUGCCACCACGCCAGGAGACGGCCUCGCCGGAGCCGGGACCAAAUGCCAGCCUGGAGGCCUUCUCCCUGGAUCGUGCAGCUGCAGGGGCCACCCCCCGCCUGUGGCUGAAGGGGACCUGAGGGGUGAACAAAGAGCCAGUCAGCCCAGAGGGAGGCUUUAGGGUCCCAACUCUUCCCUCGUCACCCUGAAAGAACUGGCUCUUUGUGCCAGCCCGUCUGGGCACCCAAGGCCACGCAUGUUCCUCCAGCCCGCCAGCUCAUGUCGUGGGGUGGCCCCGUUUGGUUGCCUGGCAUGAGACCCCUGCAGGAAGCUGACAUGGGGGGCUGCUCCCUCCCCAAGCCAGAGCUCAGGGGGAGUCCUCUGGUUUCAGAGUGCCGCAUGGUUCGGUGCACAGCCGGGGGCAAGUAGGGCCCUGGCCUAGGACCCCAGAGGCUUCUGGGGCGUCAUCCAGCAUGCAGGCUUCUGCAGAGUCUGAGCUACCCCAUGGUACCCAGUGGGGAGUCAGUCCCAGUAGUGGCAAAGGAGGGGACAGCUGCCAACCCAUGGCACAGACUAGGGGGCUGGUCAGAGAGAGGUCCAGCUCGGUACCUCCCAGCUACACGGUGACUUGUCCUGGGGCCCACACUUUGACCUGUGGGCCCAGUUCCUGGCUGAGAGGUGUGCUAUUAUCCAUGAACCGGGUCCCUGGUGACAGAUGGCAUUGUCCCUUGGUGGUACCACUCGGUGGUCUGCAGCCUCCGCCAGCUUGGGGCGGAGGCAAGGUGUGUUUGGAACAGGAUGGCGGACCCUGGGGGGAUGGAGCUAUGCUGGUGUGUGUCCACGUGCUUGCACCACGUGGGGUGACUUUAGGAGCUGAGGAGGAUCACCUGUGUGGAUCACUGGAGCCCGUUCUGGAUGGUGGCUCCAACACGUGGUUGGCUCCGACACGUGGGCUCAGGAGGAAGGACGGGCUGCGGGCAGAGAGCCCUGUGGGCAGCAGGGCACAGCUACACGUCCCCAUCUGUGUGUAUGUGUGUGGUUGUAUUGAUGCCAGUGCUGUGCAGACGGGGGCUCCUUGGCAGUGUCCCUGGGUCGUUGCAGUCUGCUCUUGCCAGCUCAGUCCAUCGUGGAGGUUAGGGGGCAGUGUUUCCCAAGGGGAGCACCCACGAGCUCCCUGGCGAGCUAGCUAGGUCCCAGUCGUGCACCCCAGGCCCUGAACUUGCUCUGUGUCCAAGGCACCAUUCCCACUGGGCUGGCUGAGGCCAAGACAGGCUGGUGGCUGGAAUCC